AAACACUUAGGGAUAACCUAAUGAUGAAGGCAAAAGACUCCUACAGUGUAAAUGUUCUUAUGCAGAACUAUCGCGGACACGCUUGUUUUCUUGGAGAAAUAUCUAGAAGCUGAUCCUGGUUACAGGGGAUCGGAGGCUGGGAGUGUAACAGUUGUGGUGGUCAGGACUUCUCAGCAGGAAUGCUCAUAAAACAUCUCCUGAUCUCUUCUGAAGUUUUAUGGUCUUAGCUUUUAGCUCUAUGACUCACUUAAAAUCAAUGUAUGUACACCGCUGAUGGCUGAGGGUUCAUUUUCUCGCCUUAAAUAGCAAGUCGCUCCACCACUGUUUGAGAAGAUUCCUUGUGGACUCGCACCAGGAACUCCGUUGGGAUCCAGGUGUGAUUCUGCUCUGCUCCUUUGUCACAGAGCUCCUUAAACUGUGGGCAGUGACCCCUUCUGCCAUGCCACAUAGCUCAGUGUGGGACCUUCAGAGAUUUCGGUAACAGUAAGAGGUUUCUGAAUACCCAAUGACCCAAAUUGAUUCAGACUCAUCCCUGCAAUGAAUCCAAGGCGUUUCUGGCAGUGACAGUGUGUGACAUAGUGUGACUUUCACUGCAGCCUGGCUCUGAGCACACACCAUGCACAUUUACACAGGACUUCCAUCACACUCUGCCACACCAGGGAACCCCAUUUGCAACACUUUGGACCAUAUCUGAGAUUACCGUAAGAUGUGAUGUCAAUCAUGCUGUUUUCACUGUGCAGCAAAGGUUUCUGCUCUGAUGGAAAGUUAAUGAUUUAAUUGCAGAAACCAUUCUGAGAUUUCCCUGCCACUGUGACUCUGCAUGAAAGUAACACGUUGGUCUUUAGAUUGCCUUGUGCUAGAAUGUCUGGUUUUAAAAAUAACUGUUUGAGUUGCUAACUUGAAUUUUUAACUGUAUUUUAUUUUGUUUUUGUUCUUGAGACAGGGUUUCUCUGUG